AAAAUGAGUCACGCAGUGCACAGGGUGUAACGGGAGAACAAAGACAAAAUUACUAAAAUAUGACGCGCAUGCAAUACAGCUUUCUCUACAACUGUACAACAAUAGCUAACAGUCUACUUAAACGGUCUAUUUCUGAGACAAGCAAACUCGAGGAAGAGUGUUGAAAGAACAGGAGGGAAGAGACAAGCUCUACGAGGUCAUUGAGAAGUAGCAUGGCGAGACCCAAGGAACCCAAGACGCCAAUUUAAUAUUGUCCAUUUAAUGCCCAUUUGAUACGCCCACGUAAUACGGUUCUUUACAGCCUUCCGUAAAAGCAAUUUGCUGCCAAAAACACGGACAAAAAACAGAGACCGCCUUCCUUCACUCAAGUCCCAACCAGUCAAGUUCAGAUACCGCUGAGCCAAGUCGGUAGUUUCCAACAAUGCACAGCGGUGUAUUUUGAGUCUAGCGAUAGCGAUGGAAUUGAUCUGCUUGGCGUUGGCUUCUUGUUACGGCCCUGGACUAGCCUUCCAAUACAAAAGUUGCCACUGUAAAGAAAUUCACUUUUAACUAGAAUGGCACAGUUUAAGAUAACUUUUUGGAGUCUUUUUGAUAACAUUUAUCUAAAAAAGUGGUGUGGUAGGUUAGUCUACCUCAGCCAGGAUACUAAGGAUGACACAGGCCUGGCAUAUAAUAUAUCUUGCAAAAUUAGCUUGCUAGCUUUUACUGAUUAUUUGUAUUCGAAUUGUUCCUAAAAGAUAACUAAAUAUGGAUAAGAUAACUAAUAAAUGUGGAACAUUUUUGCCACCCAACGUUA